CCUACGGGAGGCAGCAGUGAGGAAUAUUGGUCAAUGGACGAGAGUCUGAACCAGCCAAGUAGCGUGAAGGAUGACUGCCCUAUGGGUUGUAAACUUCUUUUAUAUGGGAAUAAAAUGUUCCACGUGUGCGUUUUUGUAUGUACCAUAUGAAUAAGGAUCGGCUAACUCCGUGCCAGCAGCCGCGGUAAUACGGAGGAUCCGAGCGUUAUCCGGAUUUAUUGGGUUUAAAGGGAGCGUAGGUGGGUUGUUAAGUCAGUUGUGAAAGUUUGCGGCUCAACCGUAAAAUUGCAGUUGAUACUGGCAGUCUUGAGUACAGUAGAGGUAGGCGGAAUUCGUGGUGUAGCGGUGAAAUGCUUAGAUAUCACGAAGAACCCCGAUUGCGAAGGCAGCUCACUAGACUGCAACUGACACUGAGGCUCGAAAGUGUGGGUAUCAAACAGGAUUAGAUACCCCAGUAGUC
rnacentral:rRNA from 1 species